GUCCACGCCGUAAACGUUGGGCGCUAGGUGUGGGGGACAUUCCACGUCCUCCGUGCCGCAGCUAACGCAUUAAGCGCCCCGCCUGGGGAGUACGGCCGCAAGGCUAAAACUCAAAGGAAUUGACGGGGGCCCGCACAAGCGGCGGAGCAUGCGGAUUAAUUCGAUGCAACGCGAAGAACCUUACCUGGGUUUGACAUAUAGGGAAAUCCUCCAGAGAUGGGGGGUCCGUAAGGGUCCUAUACAGGUGGUGCAUGGCUGUCGU
rnacentral:rRNA from 1 species